rnacentral:ncRNA from 1 species
GCUGAUUCCUUUCAAUUUGAGACUCGAGGCAAAAAUGUGUCAAAAAAACUUUAUCGCUUGGUCAAAUCUUUAUCACACAAGUCUUGAAAAGCCCUUAGACCCAGGCCUCCAAGAGAUUGGCCGAGCGAGAUUUAAGGUCACCCAAAUAUUGAUAUGCAACUAUUUGAAAAAAAAUAAACACAUGAGAUGCAAGAUGCAGACAAUAACAACAAUUCAUAUUGAAAAUAGGUUUUUUUUUGGAAGUUGAAGAAGCUGCUGUAUCUUCUAAGGAUAUGUAUCUUCUUAGGACUAAGAGCACAGGAUAUAAAGACAAGAACGGUCUUCUUUAGCAGUAUUUGACAAAUGCAACACGAUAUUGGUUAGCCUUUAUGAAAUAUCUCAACACAAUCAAAAUCUUCCGAGACUGUGGUUACCGUCUGAGAGCGUACUGAUCGAGGCGAAAAUGGCAUGUGGGCGGUAAAAAUGUUUUGUAAUCCUUUAUAAAUGCUUUGGUUAAAAAUUUGUGAAUUUGUUUAAUGUUUAAACUCGGUCGAUCGAAGAAGUAUCUUCAAAGGUGGAAUUGUGUGUUUGUGUUGUUAUAAGUCGCGCUGCCAUAUCAAUUUUUGCCUUUUUUCCAGGGUUUCCCUGGCAACUCAGAUCAGACCACCGUGGUGAAGAACGAGUUCUCCCCUGUCAUCAAAGUGCGUUCCGUCAGGAUUGUUGUACAGGCCUGGUACAAUCAUAUCACUGAGAGUGGAGUUUUACGGAUGUGCAGCUUGACUUAGUUAGGUAUCUUUGCAUUGGAAUUUUAUAUUUUGAGGGGAUUCUUUGGUUGAGUAGUCUUCUGUGCAGCCGUCUUUAGUGUCAGGCUCCAAGGGAGCCCUUGGAGCCCUUCCCUUCACUUUUAUUAUGCAUCACGUUCCACCACCCACAAAAAGGCACCAUAUGUAAAACAUAUAAAGAUUGCAUGUACUAUAAAUACUGCAAUCAAUAUUAAAAGGUGUCCUCCCAAUCCUCCUCUAGGUAAUACCUAGAGCAAAUAUGUUUUUUGUUCUGAUGUCGGCUCUUCCUAUCAUUGCGAAGCAGAAUUCGCCAAGUGUUGGAUUGUUCACCCACUAAUAGGGAACGUGAGCUGGGUUUAGACCGUCGUGAGACAGGUUAGUUUUACCCUACUGAUGAAGUGUUGUUGCAAUAGUAAUUCUGCUCAGUACGAGAGGAACCGCAGAUUCAGACAAUUGGCAUUUGCACUUGGCUUAAAAGCCAAUGGUGCGAAGCUACCAUCUGUUGGAUUAUGACUGAACGCCUCUAAGUCAGAAUCCUUGCUAGGACGCAACGAUAAUUACCUCCGGAGAAUCUUAGGCGAACAAGGAUAGAGAACGGGCUUGCCCGCUCUCCUGCGUCCCAAUGUGCCAAGAGGGAAAACAACCCUCAAGGCACUAAAGUAUAUCAAAGUUUAAAAUUUCUGGAGAUAAAUCCUUUGA